rnacentral:rRNA from 1 species
UACGUAGGGUGCGAGCGUUAAUCGGAAUUACUGGGCGUAAAGCGUGCGCAGGCGGUUCGUUGUGUCUGAUGUGAAAGCCCCGGGCUUAACCUGGGAAUGGCAGUGGAAACUGGGGGACUUGAAUUGAGCAGAGGGGGGUGGAAUGCCGCGUGUAGCAGUGAAAUGCGUAGAGAUGCGGCGGAACACCGAUGGCGAAGGCAGCCCCCUGGGCUUAAAUUGACGCUGAGGCACGAAAGCGUGGGGAGCAAACAGG